rnacentral:rRNA from 1 species
AGAGUUUGAUCCUGGCUCAGAUUGAACGCUGGCGGCAUGGUUAAGACAUGCAAGUCGAGCGCGAAAGCCCCUUCGGGGGUGAGUAGAGCGGCGCAAGGGCGAGGAAUACGUUCCUACGUACCCCGAGGUCAGGGAUAGCCCAGGGAAACCUGGAUUAAUACCUGAUGUGGUCCUUCGGGAUCAAAGGCUUGCUGCCUCGGGAGCGGGGAACGUCCUAUCAGGUUGUUGGUGGGGUAACGGCUCACCAAGCCGAAGACGGGUAGCGGGUGUGAGAGCAUGACCCGCCGCAUCGGGACUGAGACACUGCCCGGACUCCUACGGGAGGCUGCAGUAACGAAUCUUCCGCAAUGCGCGAAAGCGUGACGGAGCAAUGCCGCGUGCAGGAUGAAGCCCCUCGGGGUGUAAACUGCUGUCAGGGUUUAGGAACACAAUGACCAGACCCAAAGGAAGGGCCGGCUAACUUCGUGCCAGCAGCCGCGGUAAUACGAACGGCCCGAGCGUUACUCGGAAUCAUUGGGCUUAAAGCGUACGUAGGCGGGCGCGCAGGCACCUUGUGAAAUCCCUCGGCUCAACCGAGGAAUUGCUUGGUGAACCGCGUGCCCUUGAGCAAGUAGGGGCUGUCCGAACGAUAGGUGGACCGGUGAAAUGC